rnacentral:misc_RNA from 1 species
CCGAGUUGAUUCGGGCUCCGUCCCGAUCCUCCCACCCUUUGUAUACCUACCUCUGUUGCUUUGGCGGGCCGCGGUCUUCCGCGGCCGCCCCCCGAUUUUGGGGGGGUGGCUAGUGCCCGCCAGAGGACUAUCAAACUCCAGUUAGUAAACGUUGCAGUCUGAAAAAAAUAUUAAAUAAACUA